CCUACGGGUGGCAGCAGUGGGGAAUAUUGGUCAAUGGGCGGAACUCUGAUCCAGCGACGCCGCGUGAGUGAAGAAGUAUUUCGGUAUGUAAAGCUCUAUCAGCAGGGAAGAAAAUGACGGUACCUGACUAAGAAGCCCUGGCUAACUACGUGCCAGCAGCGGCGGUAACACGUAGGGGGCAAGCGUUAUCCGGAUUUACUGGGUGUAAAGGGAGCGUAGAGGGUGCAGCAAGUCUGAUGUGAAAGGUCGGGGCCCAACCCCGGGAGUGCAUUUGAAACUGGCGAACUGGAGUACAGGAGAGGUAAGCGGAAUUCCUGGUGUAGCGGUGAAAUGCGUAGAUAUUAGGAAGAACACCGAUUGCGAAGGCAGCUUACUGGACUGUAACUGACGCUGAGGCUCGAAAGCGUGGGUAGCAAACAGGAUUAGAUACCCCUGUAGUC
rnacentral:rRNA from 1 species